AAAAAAGACUUCACUUGUUAUUUGGAAGGUAGGGAUUCAGUUUGUUGCUUAAAGACACUUAAACUGGAUUUACAAUUGACUCAAGGGACAACAGUCCUGCAGUAGAUAUUUACAGUGAAGGUUUUCUUUGCUCCGUGAGUCUUUCUUCAACGUGGGUAAUGUUCUUUCACUACCAGAUAGACGAAAUAGAAAUGUUCUGAUAUCAUUUUUUCCCUUCCCGAUACCGAUUCCGAUACCUGAACUUGCAUCAGAGUACUGAUCCAAUACCAGCGUUAUAAAA